GGGCGGGUGGCAGAGCGGUCAAAUGCACGAGGCUGUAAACCUCGCGCCCCUGUGGCUACCUAGGUUCGAAUCCUAGCCCGCCCACCA
rnacentral:tRNA from 1 species